AACGAACGCUGGCGGCACGUUUUAAGCAUGCAAGUCGAAUGGCAGUGGGGGCAACCCCAUGAGAAUGGCGAACGGGUGAGUAACACGUAGGUGAUCUGCCUGACGGAUGGGGAUAGCUUGUGGAAACACAGGGUAAUACCGAAUGAGCUGACGAGACUUUGGUUUUGUUAGUAAAGGUGCUACGGCACCGCCGACAGAGGAGCCUGCGGCUGAUUAGCUAGUUGGUGGGGUAAAGGCCUACCAAGGCGACGAUCAGUAGCCGGCCGGGGAGGGUGAACGGCCACACUGGAACUGACACACGGUCCAGACUCCUACGGGAGGCAGCAGCUAAGAAUCUUCCACAAUGGGCGAAAGCCUGACGUAGCGAUGCCGCGUGAUCGAUGAAGGUCGAGAGAUUGUAAAGAUCUUUUCUACGUGAGGAAUAAGUCUGGGAGGGCAUGCCUGGAUGAUGACGUUAGUGUAGGAAUAAGCCCCGGCUAAUUACGUGCCAGCAGCCGCAGUAA
rnacentral:rRNA from 1 species